rnacentral:lncRNA from 1 species
CGGUUCUCUGCCAUCCCCUCUCGGCGGCCCAGCGGAGCGCCGGCGGCUGGCGUCACUUGUCCCCCCAGCUGUUCUGGGGAAACUGAGGCUCACGCAGCCUGGCCACUGGCCAGGACGCAGCUGGGGGCAAACGUUUAUUUGGGCGGUUUUGCAGGGAUUUGUCUGCGCACUGGAAAGCAAACCCCAAACCCACGUACCCGCCCCCACGUUCCUCCAGUCCCCGGAGCUGGGGGAACAUGAGGCGGCGGAGGGGACCAGGUGGCCUGCAGCCCGGGCUUGAGUACCAGUCAAGCUGGGCCCCUCCUGGUGCCUCGGGCUCCCCUCUGCGUGGCGCGCACGACAGCGCUGGACGACACACUCCCCCGACUCUCGCUGUCGGUCUCCGGCGCCGCGUGGGUUGCGGCCCCGAGGCCCAAACGUCCGCGUCUUCGCCGAGCCCUGACGUCGCGCUGACGCCACCAGCCCCCCUCCCCGCGGGGUCCGGCAGCCCAGAGUGGUUAACUCUUCCGCUGCCACACGAGACCCCCAGGGUCCUUUCUCCCUCCACCCGCUCCCUGCCCGGAGAGGGUCCGGGCUGGGCCCCGACGUCGGAGUGUCCUGGGCGGACCUGGUAGACAGGCCCUUAGCCCGGGCUGUUCCCUUCGCCUGGAAUGCGGCUCCAGUCCCAGGUCAAGCCCGUGUUUACUGUGACUUCGCUCCCUCCCGCCGGGCCCUGACCCCUCCGAGGCUGGGCGUGACCGCGUCUGGCUGGAUCUCCCGGGCCCGGGGUGGGUCCUCCCCUCAGCCACUUGCUGUUUCAAGGUCAGUUUCUUCCCAUUUUUCAGAUUAGAACCAACAAAGUUCAGGGAACUUAAGGACGUCACCUAGAGAGGGGCAGAAAGCCCGGGCCCCAGCUCUGGCGGAUCCCUGCCCCCACCCCAUGCGGUGGCGGGGACUGUCUCGCAGCCGGGGAGAGGACCCCCGCAGGCCCCGCCCUGCCCCAGGGGAAGUGAGACUAGGAGCCCUCCCCCGCAUUCUCGCCACUUCCUCCCGGGGAGCGGCGGCGGCGGCGGGGAGAGGGAGGAGGUGGGGACGGCCUGGGAGUUCAGGGAACCUGCCUUGGGUCGGGGACGGGGGUCCCUCCAUGAUGACCCUAUGAUUUGGUAGAAGACUGGCGCUAGAUGCCCCACGCGCUUGGGCUGAGGGAUGGCAAAUCUGCUCCUUCCUUGAGGCCCUUCUUAAGCGACCUGUUGUCUGUUUUGAUUCCCUCAGUGUCCUCCCCAGCUGGGUCCCAGAGCCUUCCAUCCUAUCUUCCCCUUCUGCUCUCCCGCUCCUACGCCACCGCUGUGAUGCAUCCCUGGUCUUCCCUGGGCGGGGGUGGAGGGGACCUGGAUCCCUCUGCGCUCCAGAGAUUGAAGGCAUGCUUUGCUCAGAGCCUCAGUUUCUCUGCUGGGGACAAACAUCCCUCCAAGGGAACAAUGUCUGGAAGACGUUUCCCAGUUUGGCAGCAGGGAUACACUUGCUCAUCUGUUGGUUCAUUCACUCCUGCUGCUCGGUGCCGUCCUGUCACCUCCUCCUUCAUUCACAAACCGCAGGCUGCCUAGGAAGGACUCAGUGGCUCACAGAUAUGUGGGUGGGGACAGCCCCAAGACCAGAGGUGGGAUCUUCCAUUUUACUAAACUAACCUGAAUCCUCCCCAGAGAGGCCCGGCAAGGUCCCCAGAGGCAGCAGCCUGUCACUUCAGUCUCUGCUGGAAAGGGGUCUGCACCUCUCUGAGCCAUCCAUAGAAGCCUGCGCAGUGACGCAGGCCAGGCCCACGGUAGUAGAUCACCAGAGUGCUCCCUCAACUCCUGAGUUCCAGUGUCAACUAGUCAGACACUGUGAGGACCUCCUAUGUGCUGGGGCCACUGAACAGGCCCCUCUGGCUAUGCAUUCUCACCUUCCUGGACUGGCCUCCCUCCUUGAAUGCCACUCAGACAUCCAGGCCUCGGCCCAAGUGUCCCUGAGGACAGAAUGCCUGGGCUCAUCAUUUGUUGUUUUUUUUUUCAGUUUCCUUCUAUUUAUGGCAAGAGAAAACGAUUUUCCAUUCCUGGCGGUGACACGAAGAUCCCCUUUUGAAAUAUAUUGAAAUAGAAACAGAAAAGGGGGUAGAGAGUGACAUGGACCUAAAGGGUGCUCCUUGGCUAUGAUUACUUCCUGUAACUCCCCGCUCAGCUCUAGGAGGGCUGGGGGCUGAAGAGCUGGGCCCAGCAUGCCCAGCACAGGCGCACCAGGGACUGUCCAAUGAGCCAACCAUGAUGCCCCCAACCCAAAUCCAACUGACUCCUCAAGGUGAUCUAGUAACAGUGGAUUCCUGAUCUUCUGACCAACACCUACACACACCUGCUGGACCCCAACAUCUGAACCUGUGAAAGGACCUAACCCCACUGGUGCAUACAGCAAGUGCACAUUCAGUGCACGCUGGGGGAACGCAGGCACUGCUCCUAGGAGCUCUUUCCUCCAGGUGCUAGAGACCUAAGGCUGGAGUCCUUCAGUCCCUUCACAAACACUGAUCUGCGCCACUCCUUGAAGCCUUUGAGGAGGCUGGGGACACCACAGUCUCAGGGACAACUGGACUCUGUUGUCAUCAAAGCGGGAUGUGUCAGGUCCAGUCAAUGUCCAAGGGCCUGCUGCGCCCGCUGCCUUAUUGUAAUAUGGUCUUCCGAGGCUGAAGGAGCCGGUGCCACCCAAAGGGCAGAAGCUGGGUCCCCUCCAUAGGGCUAGUCAAACACCUGCACAGGGACGGACAGGACGGCGGUUGCGGCUCCAGGGGAGGGCGGAAGUGGGGCGGUGGCGAGGGGGGAGCCGCAGCCCUCCGCGGUAACCUGAUCCUCAGGAAUGCGCCGAGGCCAGACGCGCCCCCAGCCCCAGGCCGCGGCCCCUCCCCCAGCCACCCCACGGGAUCCUGCCACCUGGGGGACUGUUCUCCGCCCCCAAGCCCUGCCCCCACUAGCCAGUUUGUUUUCAGUGCAGAGUUACCCUGUCCCGGCCCUGCAGGGUCCUGAGCUCUGGGGGACCAUCCCCAGCAAGCCCCGCCCCCAGGAGGCCCCCUUGCCUCAUCCCCCUUCUGCUCCUCUAACUCCUAUUCUUUCCUCUCCCGGGGAUUUUCCGUUUUAUCAAGUUGAUGGUAGGUCUCUGGGUGUUGAGUAAAGACUGAAAAUUCAGCCCAGUGGCAGAUCACUCUAAACCAGAAGGUCAGUGUCUUAGUACUGGGCGGCGCAGAGGUCAGAACCUGGGCUGGCGAGACAGAAGGGGGAGGGCACAUCAGAUUCAGUGUCUGGAAGGCCAGGUCCCUCUCCAGCCCUGGCUGGGGGAGCCCAGGCAGGUCAGGUCGCCAGUCCUCCGCAGACAACUGCUCUGGGAAAUCCGAUUAAAAUCUCUCACAACUUGCUGGGAAGAUAAAAGUAAAAAUAUGGACUCCAGGGCUGAGCCUGCUUAAUGUCCCUUCCUCCAGCCUCAUCUGGGACCCCACUGAUUUUGGGACAAAUACCACUUGGUGUUUGGUGAAGGCCUCACCACCUCUUUUCCACUUUGGCUCUGUGGCUGCCAAUUUAAUCCAGUCUUGCUGCCCCCCAGCUCUCCAUCAAGGCGAAAUGCUGGUCCUUGCCCCGGGCCUUUGCACUUGCUGAACCUACUGCCUGGGACACUGAUUCCCCAUUACUUGGUUAUUUGCUCCAACUUCUCUUUCAGCAUCGUCUUCUAGGGUGCCCCUCACACACUAACACACUCUAAGACAUCCUCUGCUUUACCAAUGAGGCCACCAUUUAUUCUCCCAAAGGCUGCAAUUAUAUUCCUGUUAGUCUGAGUGUGGGGAGGGUAUGGAGGUUUGUCUCAAUGUGUGUCCAAGCCAGUGCAUGUGGAAUAAGUGAGUUAUCCCUAGUUCACUGCAUGGAUUAAGCACACUCCCACCUUGUCUCAGGAAAUCCCUGUCUCUGAGGGACCCCCAGUCUGGGAGGACUAAAGCUGGACAAGAUAGCUGUUCCUCAAUCAACUUUAUGGGAUCAAGUUUGGGACAAAUGGAGGGAUGAGAAUGGAAUAUCUUGGAGGCCUCCCUAGCUGGGAGGAAGAAGAGGGCAGGGAAGGGGAUUGGGCAGAGGGAACAGCAACUCAGGCAGAGGAACCCACAGAAGGGGGAUAGACAGGCUGGCUGCCCAGGGCAGUUCUCUAUACUGAGGCCACGACCUCCCCUCUCCCUGUCUGGGAGAGCAAGGUUUGCUGCAGAUAGAGGACGGGUUUAGCCAACCUUGGAGUCUAAGGGGACUCCUAGGAGGCAUGAUUAGGAAAGGCUUCUUGAGAGGAAGCAGUGGAGGCAGGUUUUGAAGGAUGAGUAGGAAGGAGUUUGCCAAGAAGCUAUGUAAAGGCAGUCCAAGCUAAGAGAACACAGACCCAAAUGACUGCAGUUCAGUUUGGCCAAGUAAUAAUGAAGCAAAACAGUUAUUGAAUCCUUACUUUUUUUUCAAAUCCUCCCUAUAAAACAGUCCAUGUGGUAAGUAAGCUUAUUCACUCCUUUUUCUUAAGGCUGGAACCGAGGCUCACCAAGACAACACUUUGGCCUCUGAAGGCCUACUUGCCUUGAGAAAGGUCACUUGGCCCAGGCUGGCUUGGCCCACAGUUCAUCCCCCCACCUGCCAAGGUCAGGACUACACCUCCUUGGCCUCCUACUCAAUCCAGACUCUUAGAGAAACACCACCCAUCUCUUUCAAUCUAGUCCCACUACCAUAGCUCAGACUGAGGCCCCAGGACAGGGAUGUCUGGAGGCCAGGGGCAGGGGCUGGG